rnacentral:rRNA from 1 species
UACGUAGGGUGCGAGCGUUGUCCGGAAUUAUUGGGCGUAAAGAGCUUGUAGGCGGUCUGUCGCGUCUGCUGUGAAAAUCCGGGGCUCAACCCCGGACUUGCAGUGGGUACGGGCAGACUAGAGUGUGGUAGGGGAGACUGGAAUUCCGUGGUGUAGCGGUGAAAUGCGCAGAUAUCAGGAGGAACACCGAUGGCGAAGGCAGGUCUCUGGG